GUCGUCAGCUCGUGUCGUGAGAUGUUGGGUUAAGUCCCGCAACGAGCGCAACCCCUGUGGUUAGUUACUCGUGUCUAGCCAGACUGCCGGGCACAACCCGGAGGAAGGGGGGGAUGACGUCAAGUCAGCAUGGCCCUUACGCCCUGGGCGACACACACGCUACAAUGGCCGGGACAACGGGCAGCCAAGCAGUAAUGUGGAGCGAAUCCCGAAAACCCGGUCUCAGUUCAGAUUGGGGGCUGAAACUCGCCCCUAUGAAGGCGGAGUUGCUAGUAACCGUGGGUCAGCCAUACCGCGGUGAAUACGUUCCCGGGA
rnacentral:rRNA from 2 species